rnacentral:rRNA from 1 species
CAAGUUCCUUGGAAAAGGACAGCUGAGAGGGUGAGACUCCCGUCCGCCUGGUAGAGUGAGUCAUGUGUCAACGAGUCGAGUUGUUUGGGAUUGCAGCUCUAAUUUGGUGGUAAAUUCCAUCUAAAGCUAAAUAUUGGUGGGAGACCGAUAGCGUACAAGUACCGUGAGGGAAAGAUGCAAAGAACUUUGAAAAGAGAGUUAAAGAGUACCUGAAAUUGCUGAAACGGAAGCGAAGGAAACCAGUGUUUGUUGGUUCAUAUUUCCCUGGCCACUUGUGGUUUGGGCGCUGUGAGCUUGCGUGUGUUUGUCUUGGUUGAUCCCUUUGGAAGAGCGCAGUCAGAGUUGAUGUCUGUUGCUAGCACUGGGUUUGACUGAUGCAGACGAAAUGGUUUUCUUUACCCCGUCUUGAAACACGGACCAAGGAGUCUAACAUAUGUGCGAGUACAGGGGUGUCAAACCCCGGUGCGUAAUGAAAGUGACAGUGGUUGGAUAUUUUGCACAAUCC